GCUUUGUUAGAUAUAGGGAAUAUCUAAAGCCUUUUCUGGAAGUUUUUUAAAUAAAUAAGAGCAGAGAAAACUUGAGCCUAUGAAUCUAAACUCAUCUGUGAUGGUCUGCAGCUGGGAGCAAGCAGAUCAGUGUCAGUCCCUUUGCAGCCGUUGGCUGGGAGCCUGCAUGUUCCCUGGAAUGAUAUUUGAAACAUGUCACCCUAGCCGUGCCUUCGCUCUGGACUGGGAGGCGAGUCAGUCAGAAUCUGCAUUAUGGAAUGUUUUGGAUGACAAGCUUGUAUUUGCAAAUGUACACACCCUGUGGGAGG